rnacentral:rRNA from 1 species
UAGCGGCAGGCUUAAUACAUGCAAGUCGUGGGGCAGCAUGAGUAGCAAUACUUGAUGGCGACCGGCAACGGGUGAGGAACACGUACACAACCUUCCUUCAAGCGGGGAAUAGCCCAGAGAAAUUUGGAUUAAUACCCAUAAUAUAUUUGAUAAGGCAUCUUAUUAAUAUUAAAGCUUCGGCACUUGAUGAUGGGUGUGCGGCUGAUUAGAUAGUUGGCGGGGUAACGGCCCACCAAGUCUACGAUCAGUAGCUGAUGUGAGAGCAUGAUCAGCCACACGGGCACUGAGACACGGGCCCGACUCCUACGGGAGGCAGCAGUAAGGAAUAUUGGACAAUGGACGAAAGUCUGAUCCAGCCAUGCCGCGUGAAGGAUUAAGGUCCUCUGGAUUGUAAACUUCUUUUAUAUGGGACGAAAAAAGGGCAUUCUUGUUCACUUGACGGUACCAUAUGAAUAAGCACCGGCUAACUCCGUG